rnacentral:ncRNA from 1 species
UCCCUUGAACGAGGAAUUCCAUGAAGCGCGAGUCAUUAGCUAACGUUGAUUACGUCCCUGCCCUUUGUACACACCGCCCGUCGCUACUACCGAUUGAAUGGUUUAGUGAGGUCCUCCGAUUGGACCCGGUCCGGGCGGCGACGUCCGAGCCGGCGUCCGAGAAGACGAUCUAACUUGAUCAUUUAGAGGAAGUAAAAGUCGUAACAAGGUUUCCGUAGGUGAACCUGCGGAAGGAUCAUUA